CAGUCGCCGCGGUAAAACGGAGGGUGCAAGCGUUAAUCGGAAUUACUGGGCGUAAAGCGCACGCAGGCGGUCUGACAAGUCAGAUGUGAAAUCCCCGGGCUUAACCUGGGAACUGCAUUUGAAACUGUCAGGCUGGAGUCUUGUAGAGGGGGGUGGAAUUCCAGGUGUAGCGGUGAAAUGCGUAGAGAUCUGGAGGAAUACCGGUGGCGAAGGCGACCCCCUGGACAAAGACUGACGCUCAGGUGCGAAAGCGUGGGGAGCAAACAGGAUUAGAGACCCCUGUAGUCCCUGUCUCUUAUAA
rnacentral:rRNA from 1 species